GAUGAACGCUGGCGGCGUGCCUAAUACAUGCAAGUCGAGCGAACGGACGAGAAGCUUGCUUCUCUGAUGUUAGCGGCGGACGGGUGAGUAACACGUGGAUAACCUACCUAUAAGACUGGGAUAACUUCGGGAAACCGGAGCUAAUACCGGAUAAUAUUUUGAACCGCGUGGUUCAAAAGUGAAAGACGGUCUUGCUGUCACUUAUAGAUGGAUCCGCGCUGCAUUAGCUAGUUGGUAAGGUAACGGCUUACCAAGGCAACGAUGCAUAGCCGACCUGAGGGGGUGAUCGGCCACACUGGAACUGAGACACGGUCCAGACUCCUACGGGAGGCAGCAGUAGGGAAUCUUCCGCAAUGGGCGAAAGCCUGACGGAGCAACGCCGCGUGAGUGAUGAAGGUCUUCGGAUCGUAAAACUCUGUUAUUAGGGAAGAACAUAUGUGUAAGUAACUGUGCACAUCUUGACGGUACCUAAUCAGAAAGCCACGGCUAACUACGUG
rnacentral:rRNA from 1 species